rnacentral:rRNA from 1 species
CGCGCAUCAAGGCCCGUCACUCUCGCAGAAUACGGGCCCUGAAAUAAUUAAAAAGCUACUCAGAGGAAGGGGAGGCCAGUCGUAUAAUGGUAGGUGUACC